AGGUAUUCACGAUGGUCACUGUCCAUGUUGCAGGUGUGAAUAGUCGGAAAGGAAUUCACGGUGGUCAAUGUACAUGUUGCAGCUGUGAAUAGUCGGAAAGGAAUUCACGAUAGUCACUGUCGAAGUUGCAGGUGUGAAUAGUGGGAAAGG